CACGUAAGCGGCAGGGUAAGUCAAAGGUGAAAGCCCUCGGCUCAACCGAGGAAUUGCCUUUGAAACUGCUCUGCUUGAGUUCGGGAGAGGGAAGCGGAAUUCCUAGUGUAGCGGUGAAAUGCGUAGAUACUAGGAGGAACACCGGUGGCGAAGGCGGCUUCCUGGACCGACACUGACGCUGAGGUGCGAAAGCGUGGGGAGCAAACA
rnacentral:rRNA from 1 species